GAUGAACGCUGGCGGCGUGCCUAAUACAUGCAAGUCGAGCGAACAGACGAGGAGCUUGCUCCUCUGACGUUAGCGGCGGACGGGUGAGUAACACGUGGAUAACCUACCUAUAAGACUGGGAUAACUUCGGGAAACCGGAGCUAAUACCGGAUAAUAUCUUGAACCGCAUGGUUCAAUAGUGAAAGAUGGUUUUGCUGUCACUUAUAGAUGGAUCCGCGCCGCAUUAGCUAGUUGGUAAGGUAACGGCUUACCAAGGCAACGAUGCGUAGCCGACCUGAGAGGGUGAUCGGCCACAUUGGAACUGAGACACGGUCCAGACUCCUACGGGAGGCAGCAGUAGGGAAUCUUCCGCAAUGGGCGAAAGCCUGACGGAGCAACGCCGCGUGAGUGAUGAAGGUCUUCGGAUCGUAAAACUCUGUUAUUAGGGAAGAACAAAUGGGUAAGUAACUAUGCACGUCUUGACGGUACCUAAUCAGAAAGCCACGGCUAACUACGUG
rnacentral:rRNA from 1 species